rfam:Cerapachys biroi unplaced genomic scaffold scaffold254, whole genome shotgun sequence.
AAAGCGGCCCUUUUCAGGGCCACAAGGUGUGCAAUCCGAUCAGCA